UACGUAGGGUGCAAGCGUUUAAUCGGAAUUACUGGGCGUAAAGCGUGCGCAGGCGGUUGUGCAAGACCGAUGUGAAAUCCCCGGGCUUAACCUGGGAAUGGCAUUGGUGACUGCACGGCUAGAGUGUGUCAGAGGGGGGUGGAAUUCCACGUGUAGCAGUGAAAUGCGUAGAGAUGUGGAGGAAUACCGAUGGCGAAGGCAGCCCCCCUGGGAUAACACUGACGCUCAUGCACGAAAGCGUGGGGAGCAAACAGG
rnacentral:rRNA from 1 species